GACGUAGGGGGCAAGCGUUGUCCGGAAUCAUUGGGCGUAAAGCGCUCGUAGGUGGAUCGGUAAGUCUGCAAAGAAAGACCCGGGCUCAACUCGGGGAACGGUGUGGAUACUACCGAUCUUGAGGCAAUCAGAGGAUGAUGGAAUUCCCGGUGUAGCGGUGAAAUGCGCAGAUAUCGGGAGGAACACCGGUGGCGAAGGCGGUUCUCUGGGCCUGUACUGACGCUGAGGAGCGAAAGCGUGGGGAGCGAACAGG
rnacentral:rRNA from 1 species